AUCCCAAGCCUUCUGGCGAUCUGUUCAUAUUUAGCCUAUAGUGUGCUUAAGGAAUCUUUAUAGUAUUUUAAGUAUUUCUAUUUGUCAGAUUGUACCGGGGAAGGUUUUUCCGGUUUACUCCGGGGGGCUUGUAGCUCAGUUGGUUAGAGCGCGCGCUUGAUAAGCGUGAGGUCGGAGGUUCAAGUCCUCCCAGGCCCACCAAUUUAUAGUUUCUGAUCCGCUUAUUGGUCUAGUUUAUGGCAGUUUGUAGGAUCUGUUGGCUUAUCAGGAAUGAGCGUAACUUUCUUAAGGGGCUCUGGUAGAGUGAUUUGAGGGAUUUGGACUUUGCUGUUUUAGUUCAGAAUAUUUAUAGAGUUUUUUCUCUUUAAUCCUGAAUGAGGGGCCGUAGCUCAGCUGGGAGAGCACCUGCUUUGCAAGCAGGGG
rnacentral:misc_RNA from 1 species